rnacentral:ncRNA from 1 species
CAAAGGCUUGGUCCUGACUUUUCUGUCAGCUUUAGCUAGAUUUACACAUGCAAGUAUCCGCCUACCCGUGAGAAUGCCCCACAGUUUCCCGCCCGGAAACAAGGAACUGGUAUCAGGCUCACUAAAUACUUUAGCCCACGACACCUUGCUCAGCCACACCCCCAAGGGAAUUCAGCAGUGAUAAACAUUAAGCCAUAAGUGAAAACUUGACUUAGUUAAAGCUUAGAGGGCCGGUAAAACUCGUGCCAGCCACCGCGGUUAUACGAGAGGCCCAAGUUGACAGCCACCGGCGUAAAGAGUGGUUAAGAGAUAAUGAAAACUAAAGCCGAACACUCUCAGGACUGUUAUACGUGUCCGAGAGCAAGAAGCUCCCCUACGAAAGUGGCUUUAACCCUUCCGAACCCACGAAAGUUGGGAAACAAACUGGGAUUAGAUACCCCACUAUGCCCAACCCUAAACUUUGAUAGAUGAAUACAUCCCCUAUCCGCCCGGGAACUACGAGCACUAGCUUAAAACCCAAAGGACUUGGCGGUGCUUUAGACCCACCUAGAGGAGCCUGUUCUAGAACCGAUAACCCCCGUUAAACCUCACCCUCCCUUGCUCUUUCCGCCUAUAUACCGCCGUCGCCAGCUUACCCUGUGAAGGCCUAAUAGUAAGCAAAAUCAGUACAACUCAAAACGUCAGGUCGAGGUGUAGUACAUGGGAGGGGAAGAAAUGGGCUACAUUCUCUACCUCAGAACAUACGGAUAAUGAAAUGAAAAAACAUUAGAAGGAGGAUUUAGAAGUAAGCAAAAAAUAGAGUGUUUUGCUGAAGCUGGCCCUGAAGCGCGCACACACCGCCCGUCACUCUCCCCAAGCCACUUUAACCCUUAAAUAAAAACGAACCAGGCAAGAGGGGAGGCAAGUCGUAACAUGGUAAGUGUACCGGAAGGUGCACUUGGACAAAU